rnacentral:rRNA from 1 species
UACGGGGGGGGGCAAGCGUUGUUCGGAAUUACUGGGCGUAAAGGGCUCGUAGGCGGCCAACUAAGUCAUACGUGAAAUCCCUCGGCUUAACCGGGGAACUGCGUCUGAUACUGGAUGGCUUGAGUUCGGGAGAGGGAUGCGGAAUUCCAGGUGUAGCGGUGAAAUGCGUAGAUAUCUGGAGGAACACCGGUGGCGAAGGCAGCACUCUGGGACGUGACUGACGCUGAGACGCGAAAGCGUGGGGAGCAAACAGG